UGGAGCCUGUGGCUUAAUUUGACUCAACACGGGAAACCUCACCAGGUCCAGACAUAACUAGGAUUGACAGAUUGAUAGCUCUUUCUUGAUUUUAUGGGUGGUGGUGCAUGGCCGUUCUUAGUUGGUGGAGUGAUUUGUCUGGUUAAUUCCAAUAACGAACAAGACCUUCAUGUGCUAAAUAGCCCAGUCGGCUUUGGCUGACUGCUGGCUUCUUAGACGGACUAUCAGCGACUAGCUGAUGGAAGUUGGAGGCAAUAACAGGUCUGUGAUGCCCUUAGAUGUUCUGGGCCGCAUGCGUGUUACACUGACAGAGCCAGCAAGUUUAUCACCUUGACCGGAAGGUCUGGGUAAUCUUGUGAAACUCUGUCUUGCUGGGGAUAGGAUACGACUUGUACUCAGCUCCCAUUCAAACUUGGAA
rnacentral:ncRNA from 1 species